GCUGGGCAUGGUGACGCGCGCCUGUAAUCCCAGCUACUUGGGAGGCUGAGGCAGGAGAAUUGCUUGAACCUGGGAGGUGGAGGCUGCAGUGAGCCGAGAUCACAUCACUGCACUCUAGCCUGGGUGACAAAGCAAGACUCUGUCUCAA
rnacentral:SRP_RNA from 1 species